rnacentral:tRNA from 1 species
AGUCGGUUAGCUCAGUUGGUAGAGCACCACCUUGACAUGGUGGGGGUCGCUGGUUCAAGUCCAGUAUCGACUA